UACGUAGGUGGCAAGCGUUGUCCGGAUUUACUGGGCGUAAAGGGCGUGCAGGCGGUCUGUUAAGUGCAGGGUGAAAGCUCCCGGCUCAACUGGGAGAGGUCCUUGCAUACUGGCGGGCUUGAGGGGGGUAGAGGAGAGUGGAAUUCCCGGUGUAGUGGUGAUAUGCGUAGAUAUCGGGAGGAACACCUGUGGCGAAGGCGGCUUUCUGGGCCCUUACUGACGCUGAGACGCGAAAGCGUGGGGAGCAAACAGG
rnacentral:rRNA from 1 species